UAACAAUGAUUCCCCUAGUAACGGCGAGUGAAGAGGGAAGAGCUCAAAGUUGGAACCUGUUUGGCUUAGCUAAACCGGAUUGUAAACUGGAGAAGCGUUUUCCUGGCACGCCAGACUGAUAAGUCCUUUGGAACAGGGCAUCAUAGAGGGUGAGAAUCCCGUGAUCGGUCUGAGCAGAUGUCUUUUGUGAUACGCUUUCAAAGAGUCAGGUUGUUUGGGAAUGCAGCCUAAAUUGGGUGGUAAAUCUCACCUAAAGCUAAAUAUUGGCGAGAGACCGAUAGCGAACAAGUACCGUGAGGGAAAGAUGAAAAGAACUUUGAAAAGAGAGUUAAACAGUAUGUGAAAUUGUUGAAAGGGAACCGUUUGGAGUCAGACUGGCUUUGCCGUGAUCAAUCUGGGCUUUGGCCUUGAUGCACUGGCGGCAGAUGCCUGCCAUCGACAGUUUUGUCUGGAGGAAAAAACAAGUAGGAAGGUGGCCCCUCGGGGUGUUAUAGCCUAUUUGAAAAUACUCUGGAUGGGACUGAGGAACGCAGUGGAUGCUAUUAUGGCGAGUGUGCUAGGUGCUUUUGUUGAUAGAUGCUGGAAUUUCUGCUUCGGGUGGUGCCAGUGUCUAAAGAUAAAACUCACUUGGUAUAUCUUCUAUCCACUUAGGUUGAUGGCUUAAUGACUCUAAAUGA
rnacentral:rRNA from 1 species